CACACACACACACACACACACACACACACCCCCCCCUAAACAAGAAUAACUAGAAGCUGUGGCUUCAUUGAAGCUUAAUUUUUAAUUAAGGAAGGGUACUCCAGGAUGAGAAUUUGUGGUCUAUGUACUAGUUGAAAAACCAUGUUAAGUUGAAUUUUGAUGAUGAUAAAAUUAUUGUUAAAUUAAUCCAUCAUUUUCAGCUUUAUUUUAUAAAGGAAGAGGAAGGAAGUUAUUGUCAUCUCAAUCUCCCUCCAUUUUAUCCAACAUUUGUGUAAUGUCAAAGUUGUCAAAAUAUCACCAUUAUUGCUGGGAUUCUAAGAAAUCUCUACAAAUGCCUCUAAUGAUAUCAGAAACAAUUGGUUCUAAUCCUGUGAACUCUCUUGUGAAGAAAGCAUGUGACUCCUUUGGUUUAGAGGCCAUAUCUUUCAGGUCAUCCAGGGGUGCCCAAGCCACACCAACAGAGAAGAUGGUGAUACCUGCAAUGGAAAUAAUUUAAUUAAAAGCCAGUCUAAUUUAUAUGUACAGUUAUCUAUAUGUUUGUGUAUAUAUUCCAUAUAUUGGUGUAUAGUUGCAGAGAAUAAAGUUUCCUGUAUCCAAUC